rnacentral:rRNA from 1 species
CAGUAGCCGCGGUAAUACGUAGGGUGCGAGCGUUAUUCGGAUUGAUUGGGUGUAAAGGGUGUGCAGACGGCUUAUUAAGUCACUUGUUAAAUUCUUCGGCCUAACUGAAGGUCUGCAAGUGAUACUGAUGAGCUAGAGGGUGGAAGAGAGAAGUGGAAUUCUCGGAGUAGCGGUAAAAUGCGUAGAUCUCGAGAGGAACACCAAUGGCGAAGGCAGCUUCUUGGUCCAUUCCUGACGUUCAUACACGAAAGCGUGGGGAGCAAACAGGAUUAGAUACCCCUGUAGUCCCUGUCUCUUAUAC